UGAGGAAUAUUGGUCAAUGGGCGAGAGCCUGAACCAGCCAAGUAGCGUGCAGGAUGACGGCCCUAUGGGUUGUAAACUGCUUUUAUAUGGGAAUAAAGUGAGGGACGUGUCCCUUAUUGCAUGUACCAUAUGAAUAAGGACCGGCUAAUUCCGUGCCAGCAGCCGCGGUAAUACGGAAGGUCCAGGCGUUAUCCGGAUUUAUUGGGUUUAAAGGGAGCGUAGGCUGUUUGUUAAGCGUGUUGUGAAAUGUAAGAGCUCAACUUUUAGAUUGCAGCGCGAACUGGCAGACUUGAGUGCGCACAACGUAGGCGGAAUUCAUGGUGUAGCGAUGAAAUGCUUAGAUAUCAUGAAGAACUCCGAUUGCGAAGGCAGCUUACGGGAGCGCAACUGACGCUGAAGCUCGAAGGUGCGGGUAUCGAACAGG
rnacentral:rRNA from 1 species